rnacentral:rRNA from 1 species
GGGUUGUGAGGUUAAGCGACUAAGCGUACACGGUGGAUGCCCUGGCAGUCAGAGGCGAUGAAGGGCGUGCUAAUCUGCGAUAAGCGCCGGUAAGGUGAUAUGAACCGUUAUAACCGGCGAUACCCGAAUGGGGAAACCCAGUGUGAUUCGUCACACUAUCAUUAACUGAAUCCAUAGGUUAAUGAGGCGAACCGGGGGAACUGAAACAUCUAAGUACCCCGAGGAAAAGAAAUCAACCGAGAUUCCCCCAGUAGCGGCGAGCGAACGGGGAGGAGCCCAGAGCCUGAAUCAGCAUGUGUGUUAGUGGAAGCGUCUGGAAAGGCGCGCGAUACAGGGUGACAGCCCCGUACACAAAAGCGCAUGUGCUGUGAGCUCGAUGAGUAGGGCGGGACACGUGGUAUCCUGUCUGAAUAUGGGGGGACCAUCCUCCAAGGCUAAAUACUCCUGACUGACCGAUAGUGAACCAGUACCGUGAGGGAAAGGCGAAAAGAACCCCGGCGAGGGGAGUGAAAAAGAACCUGAAACCGUGUACGUACAAGCAGUGGGAGCACCCUUCGGGGUGUGACUGCGUACCUUUUGUAUAAUGGGUCAGCGACUUAUAUUCUGUAGCAAGGUUAACCGUAUAGGGGAGCCGGAGGGAAACCGAGUCUUAACCGGGCGUUAAGUUGCAGGGUAUAGACCCGAAACCCGGUGAUCUAGCCAUGGGCAGGUUGAAGGUUGGGUAACACUAACUGGAGGACCGAACCGACUAAUGUUGAAAAAUUAGCGGAUGACCUGUGGCUGGGGGUGAAAGGCCAAUCAAACCGGGAGAUAGCUGGUUCUCCCCGAAAGCUAUUUAGGUAGCGCCUCGUGAAUUCAUCUCCGGGGUAGAGCACUGUUUCGGCUAGGGGGCCAUCCCGGCUUACCAACCCGAUGCAAACUGCGAAUACCGGAGAAUGUUAUCACGGGAGACACACGGCGGGUGCUAACGUCCGUCGUGAAGAGGGAAACAACCCAGACCGCCAGCUAAGGUCCCAAAGUCAUGGUUAAGUGGGAAACGAUGUGGGAAGGCCCAGACAGCCGGGAUGUUGGCUUAGAAGCAGCCAUCAUUUAAAGAAAGCGUAAUAGCUCACUGGUCGAGUCGGCCUGCGCGGAAGAUGUAACGGGGCUAAACCAUGCACCGAAGCUGCGGCAGCGAACGUAUCACCCAAGACAACUUUACGGAGUUGACGAUUGACGGAGCGAAGCGACGUCAAAGCGUUCAUUAAAGUCGAGUUGGCUUAGGGAUACGUUCGUUGGGUAGGGGAGCGUUCUGUAAGCCUGCGAAGGUGACCUGUGAGGGUUGCUGGAGGUAUCAGAAGUGCGAAUGCUGACAUAAGUAACGAUAAAGCGGGUGAAAAGCCCGCUCGCCGGAAGACCAAGGGUUCCUGUCCAACGUUAAUCGGGGCAGGGUGAGUCGACCCCUAAGGCGAGGCCGAAAGGCGUAGUCGAUGGGAAACGGGUUAAUAUUCCCGUACUUGGUGUUACUGCGAAGGGGGGACGGAGAAGGCUAUGUUGGCCGGGCGACGGUUGUCCCGGUUUAAGCGUGUAGGUGUGUGUUCGUGUAAAUCCGGUUCACUUUAACACUGAGGCGUGAUGACGAGGCACUACGGUGCUGAAGCAACAAAUGCCCUGCUUCCAGGAAAAGCCUCUAAGCAUCAGGUAACAUCAAAUCGUACCCCAAACCGACACAGGUGGUCAGGUAGAGAAUACCAAGGCGCUUGAGAGAACUCGGGUGAAGGAACUAGGCAAAAUGGUGCCGUAACUUCGGGAGAAGGCACGCUGACACGUAGGUGAAGUGAUUUACUCACGGAGCUGAAGUCAGUCGAAGAUACCAGCUGGCUGCAACUGUUUAUUAAAAACACAGCACUGUGCAAACACGAAAGUGGACGUAUACGGUGUGACGCCUGCCCGGUGCCGGAAGGUUAAUUGAUGGGGUCAGCGCAAGCGAAGCUCCUGAUCGAAGCCCCGGUAAACGGCGGCCGUAACUAUAACGGUCCUAAGGUAGCGAAAUUCCUUGUCGGGUAAGUUCCGACCUGCACGAAUGGCGUAAUGAUGGCCAGGCUGUCUCCACCCGAGACUCAGUGAAAUUGAACUCGCUGUGAAGAUGCAGUGUACCCGCGGCAAGACGGAAAGACCCCGUGAACCUUUACUAUAGCUUGACACUGAACAUUGAGCCUUGAUGUGUAGGAUAGGUGGGAGGCUUUGAAGUGUGGACGCCAGUCUGCAUGGAGCCGACCUUGAAAUACCACCCUUUAAUGUUUGAUGUUCUAACGUGGACCCGUAAUCCGGGUUGCGGACAGUGUCUGGUGGGUAGUUUGACUGGGGCGGUCUCCUCCUAAAGAGUAACGGAGGAGCACGAAGGUUGGCUAAUCCUGGUCGGACAUCAGGAGGUUAGUGCAAUGGCAUAAGCCAGCUUGACUGCGAGCGUGACGGCGCGAGCAGGUGCGAAAGCAGGUCAUAGUGAUCCGGUGGUUCUGAAUGGAAGGGCCAUCGCUCAACGGAUAAAAGGUACUCCGGGGAUAACAGGCUGAUACCGCCCAAGAGUUCAUAUCGACGGCGGUGUUUGGCACCUCGAUGUCGGCUCAUCACAUCCUGGGGCUGAAGUAGGUCCCAAGGGUAUGGCUGUUCGCCAUUUAAAGUGGUACGCGAGCUGGGUUUAGAACGUCGUGAGACAGUUCGGUCCCUAUCUGCCGUGGGCGCUGGAGAACUGAGGGGGGCUGCUCCUAGUACGAGAGGACCGGAGUGGACGCAUCACUGGUGUUCGGGUUGUCAUGCCAAUGGCACUGCCCGGUAGCUAAAUGCGGAAGAGAUAAGUGCUGAAAGCAUCUAAGCACGAAACUUGCCCCGAGAUGAGUUCUCCCUGAGACUUUAGGUCUCCUGAAGGAACGUUGAAGACGACGACGUUGAUAGGCCGGGUGUGUAAGCGCAGCGAUGCGUUGAGCUAACCGGUACUAAUGAACCGUGAGGCUUAACCUUACAACGCCGAAG